UCCUCGAUAGCUCAGUUGGUAGAGCGCGCGGCUGUUAACCGCUAGGUCGUAGGUUCGAGUCCUACUCGGGGAG
rnacentral:tRNA from 1 species